rfam:Ixodes scapularis strain Wikel colony gcontig_1108378512010, whole genome shotgun sequence.
GCAGUCGUGGCCGACUGUUAAGGCGAUGAACUAGAAAGCGAGUGGGGUCUUCCCGCACAGGUUCGAAUCCUGUCGACUGCG